rnacentral:rRNA from 1 species
UACGUAGGGUGCAAGCGUUAAUCGGAAUUACUGGGCGUAAAGCGUGCGCAGGCGGUGAUGUAAGACAGAUGUGAAAUCCCCGGGCUCAACCUGGGAACUGCAUUUGUGACUGCAUGGCUGGAGUGCGGCAGAGGGGGAUGGAAUUCCGCGUGUAGCAGUGAAAUGCGUAGAUAUGCGGAGGAACACCGAUGGCGAAGGCAAUCCCCUGGGCCUGCACUGACGCUCAUGCACGAAAGCGUGGGGAGCAAACAGG